UACGGAGGGUGCAAGCGUUGUCCGGAUUUAUUGGGCUUAAAGGGUGCGUAGGCGGCCCGUUAAGUCAGUGGUGAAAGCCUCCAGCUCAACUGGAGAACUGCCAUUGAUACUGACGGGCUUGAGUACAGACGAGGUUGGCGGAAUUGAUUGUGUAGCGGUGAAAUGCAUAGAUACAAUCAAGAACUCCAAUUGCGUAGGCAGCUAACUAGGCUGUAACUGACGCUGAGGCACGAAAGCGUGGGGAGCGAACAGG
rnacentral:rRNA from 1 species